rnacentral:rRNA from 1 species
GACGAACGCUGGCGGCGUGCUUAACACAUGCAAGUCGAACGGAAAGGCCCUGCUUUUGUGGGGUGCUCGAGUGGCGAACGGGUGAGUAACACGUGAGUAACCUGCCCUUGACUUUGGGAUAACUUCAGGAAACUGGGGCUAAUACCGGAUAGGAGCUCCUGCUGCAUGGUGGGGGUUGGAAAGUUUCGGCGGUUGGGGAUGGACUCGCGGCUUAUCAGCUUGUUGGUGGGGUAGUGGCUUACCAAGGCUUUGACGGGUAGCCGGCCUGAGAGGGUGACCGGGCACAUUGGGACUGAGAUACGGCCCAGACUCCUACGGGAGGCAGCAGUGGGGAAUAUUGCACAAUGGGAGGAAGCCUGAUGCAGCAACGCCGCGUGCGGGAUGACGGCCUUCGGGUUGUAAACCGCUUUCGCCUGUGACGAAGCGUGAGUGACGGUAAUGGGUAAAGAAGCACCGGCUAACUACGUG